GGUAAGUGUGUGCGAGGGGGGGGGGGAGGGCAGAGGGUGCAAACGUGGUGCGGAAUGACGGGGCGUAAGGCGCGUGUAGGGGGCAGGGCAUGUCGGAUGUGAAAUCCCGUGGCUCAACCACGGAAGUGCACCCGAAACUGCGCAGCUUGAGUCUCGGAGAGGAAGGCGGAAUGCUUGGUGUAGAGGUGAAAUUCGUAGAUAUCAAGCAGAACACCGGUGGCGAAGGCGGCCUUCUGGACGAUGACUGACGCUGAGACGCGAAAGCGUGGGGAGCAAACAGGAUUAGAUACCCCAGUAGUC
rnacentral:rRNA from 1 species